rnacentral:lncRNA from 1 species
CAAGUGGAGCUCAGGUCUGAGAAUGAUAGAAGAAAAUAACAGAAAAGACCCUGGGUUCGUGGUGACUUUAUGGAACUGUUAUGUUAGCUCUGGACUUCUUUUACGACAUUUCUUUGACUUUUAAGAUGCACCAUUUAUUUAUAUAUUAUUAAGUGAUGGAGCCCGCCAUCACUUGUUGAACAGUACCUGAAUGGGGGAGUGAGAAUGAAGAAAAAUAAAGACAAAGAGAUAGAGUCAGGAGGGCUCCCAGAGACCAAGCGCCCAAGUUUAUUUUUCUCCUCUCUUUUCUACAACAGGUCCCUGUUCGGGCGCCACCCGUGACGGAGCCCGCCCGUCACUUGUCGAACAGUACCUGAAUGGGAGAGUGAGGAUGAAGAAAAAUAAAGACAAAGAGAUAGAGUCAGGAGGGCUCCCAGAGACCGAGUGCCCAAGUUUUUCUCCUCUCUUUUCUACAACAGAAACUCCUUGAAGUUUCUGAAUCCACCAUCAACAUUCUUUUAAGAAUCAACUUUUUUGAAGUUGAACCCAACCAAAAUAGCAUAUACUCAAAUAUAUGUUUUUGAUGAGUUUUGACAAAAGCACACACCCAUUUGACCUCCACCAUGAUCAAGAUUCAAGAUACUUUCUUCACCUCUCAUGCU